rnacentral:rRNA from 1 species
UACGGAGGGCGCAAGCGUUAUUCGGAAUUACUGGGCGUAAAGAGCUCGUAGGCGGUUUGUCGCGUCUGCCGUGAAAGUCCGGGGCUCAACUCCGGAUCUGCGGUGGGUACGGGCAGACUAGAGUGAUGUAGGGGAGACUGGAAUUCCUGGUGUAGCGGUGAAAUGCGCAGAUAUCAGGAGGAACACCGAUGGCGAAGGCAGGUCUCUGGGCAUUAACUGACGCUGAGGAGCGAAAGCAUGGGGAGCGAACAGGAUUAGAUACCCUUGUAGUCC